CUUCUUCAAGCAAUACUGGCACCAAGUGAGGAAAGUUGUCAUGGGUAUGAAAACCUUCACAACACCUGGUCCUGAUGGCUUCCCGUCGUUCCUCUUCAAGCAAUACUGGCACUUGAUUGGCAAAGAUCUUUGGGGCAUGGUGCGAGAUGCAUUCAGUAAUGGUAAUGCUGAUCCAAGGCUAUUAGACACUCUAAUCACCUUAAUCCCUAAAGUGACAACCCAACAACGUUGAAGGAGUUUCGCCCCAUCAACUUAUGCAAUGUUGCUUAUAAAGUGAUCUCGAAAGUCCUCGUGAACAGAAUGAGACCACUCCUACAAGAUAUUAUUAGCCCCUUCCAAGGUAGCUUCCUACCUGGCCGAGGUACGAAAGGCAACUCCAUUCUUGCUCAGGAAGUCCUUCAUCACGUCAAUCGCAACACCAGCAAGGUGGGGUUGGUCGCAAUCAAAGUGGACCUAGAAAAAGCGUACGAUCGUGUCAAUUGGGAAUUCCUACGUCAAACCCUGCUAGAUUUCAGAUUUCCCGUUAGAAUCAUUAAUCUGAUUAUGUGGGGAGUCCGUGAGACUUCUCUAACUAUCCUUUGGAAUGGUUCAAAGCUAGACCACUUUCACCCAUCUCGAGGUCUUCGUCAGGGCGAUCCUCUGUCGCCAUAUUUGUUUGUGCUAUGCAUGGAAAAGCUGAGUUUACAGAUUAAUCAUAGGGUCAUGAAGGGGGAGUGGCUCCCGAUCACUCUUUCACGUGGUGGUCCUCCCCUCUCUCAUUUACUAUUUGCAGACGAUGUCCUUUUGUUUGGAAAAGCAUCCACUGAUCAAAUGUAGAUAAUAGCAGCUACUCUACAGGCGUUUUGCAUGGAAUCGGGCCUCAAGAUCAAUUUGGGUAAGUCUAGGUUCCUUUGCUCGAAGGGAGUCAGCCAUGGACGAAAGGAGGAUCUAAAGGUGAGCUUAGGUAUAUGCCACACCAACAACCUUGGCUUGUACCUAGGGUUUCGAACACCACGGGGAAGAGUGACAUCCACAGAGUUCAACCACUUGGUGACACAAAUACAGGGUCGGCUAGCAUCUAGGAAAGGUAAGCUUCUAAAGAAAGUUGGUCGCCUUUGCUUAGCAAAAUCCGUAUUAGCUGCUAUCCCGAAGUAUACAAUGCAACUUUUCUGGUUGCCACAAAAUAUAUGUGAUACCAUUGAUAGAUUGUGCAAAGCCUUGCUUUGGUCAACGUCGGGAUCUACCAGGUGUGGAACAUCUUUAGUUGGAAAGAAAUUAUAAAACCAAAAUCCGAGGGUGGCUUAGGCAUGAGAGAUACUAGAGCUGCGAAUAUAUCCUUACUGGGAAGCCUUGUUUGGGAUCUUUUGCAGACUACUGAUAAGCCUUGGGUGCAGGUUCUUACACAUAAAUAUCUCCAACAAGGCUCCAUUUUGAAUCACUCCCCUCCCCCUGGAGCUUCCUAUGUGUGGCGCAGCAUUAACAAAGCUGCUUUGGCCUUACAGGCAUCUUUUGGGCCUCGCCUAGGCACGGGACAAUCACAAUUUUGGUACGCAAAUUGGCUUGGGACCGGCCCUCUAUGCCAACAGGUGUCUUUUAUGGAUAUACACGAUUCCCAGCUACGAUUACUCGAGCUUUAGGACCCAGAUGGUUGGCAACUACAACGUCUACACACGUGCUUGCCUCAACAUCUUGUGGAGCGAAUUCAACAAAUCACAAUCCUUGAGAAUCAGGUGGGCGACGAUAGAAUUGCUUGGUUUGGAAGUAACAAUGGAGUGUUUUCUGCAUUGUCAGGUUACCAUUAUAUCCUAGGCCACGGUAAUCCUACAGAUAGGAUUUGGAGAAAGCUUUGGAAGCUACCAAUCCCUGAAAAACUAAAGUUUUUUCUUUGGCAAGUUUUGCAAGAUGCUCUUCCCACGAACCACAAAAGAUUUACGUGCCAACUGGCUCUGUCUCCAGCUUGCACGCGUUGCUCUGCGAUUGAAGAGACCACCCUUCACGUGCUCCGCGAUUGCCCACAUUCGAGGGAACUAUGGUAUCGGAUGGGCAUUGCUUCUACGACAAUGAUGUCAACUCUCAACCUACAUCCUUGGCUUUGGCAUAUUUUCAAUCAUGAAAAGCGACUUUUGAUCUUAUCUACACUUUGGUGCAACUGGAAAUGGCGAAAUACCCAGGUAAUCGCCAACACCUCCUGGAGUGUCACGUAUGUUAGUCAACUAGUUCGACGACAGAAGCUUGAGUGUCAUCUUUAUUGCUCAAAAACACCCCAGGAGCAAGAUGGUUACUGGGCCCCUCCUGGCCAGGGAGACGUGAAACUUAAUGUGGAUGGCUCUUGCUCUAACCAAAAGUCAAUGGGUGGCGGAGGUGUUCUCCGGGGUGGCCGUGGAGAUUGGCAAUUUGGAUUCUCCACAUGCUAUGGCCAAGGCAGUCCUUUUCUCGCAGAAAUUCUGGCAAUAAGGGAUGGACUGAUGCAUGCUUGGAGGUUGGGGUAUAGAAAUAUAACCUGAGACAAUGACUAUAUGGAAGCAGUAGAUGCAAUCAAUAUUUCUUAUAUGAGAGAGCUAUCACUGCAUGCGCAUAAGGAUAAACUUUUGCAAAUACAAAAUAUUUUAAAGAAGCACUGGAGAGUGAAAAUCGUGCAUAUCCCUCGGGAGUGGAAUACAGUGUCGGAUUGCUUGGCUCAUGAAGGGGCCAAUGGUUUGAUUAAAGAAUUCAUUACUCCUCCACCCCUAGCCCUUGAAGCUUUCCUUCAAGAUCUAGCGAAUGUAGGCUAGUUAGUUACAUACUGUUUUUUUUCUUAUUUUCCUUUCUCUACCAAAAAAAAAAACAUGCACAAAGAAAGUUUGCCCUUUAUGACAUGGGAUUGUGCUGGUUCUCUCUUUUGCGUCUACAACAACGAUGCCAAUGCUUUUUUUAUGCAGAAGACAUUUUUAUGUCACUGUAGAUAACAUCGUUAGAAGAGUCUUUGUAAAUCUAGUAUGAGAAAAGCACAAGCUUUAAGCCUCCAAUUUCAAUUGUCAUUGGUGAUGAAAGCUGCCACCCCAUGGCUCUCGGACAUGCUUUGGCAAAGGAGCUGUUGAGUAUGAGAGAUCACUUUAAAUUGGUGACCCCGAAUUCAAGUGGAAACCUCCUCAAGAUGAGUGGCAGAGCAUUACUUUGGGUUGCACAUCUAGUACUACUGCUAGUCCUGAUGGUGUGGUGUUAUACUACCGUUUGGGGGUCUGCGUACACGUGUUCGCUUUGGGUUUUCUAAACCAAAUGGCAAAUGGUCUUGUAAAAGACAACAUCUACGUGUGUGGAAGGUGUUGCUGUAGUUUCUGAUCAUUGGAUAUGAUGCUUCUGCAACAUACAAAAAGGAACAAGAAGGUUUUUCCCAAGAGGAAUUGCUCGAGAGAAAUGCUUUAACAGCUAAAAAGUUCACUCAAUUAUCAAAUGGAAAGAGGUCUUAUGAUCAGGGAGGGUGACAUGGACACAUUGCAGGGAACACAUGUACAAACUAAAAGCUGCAAAUGCUAAGGGAAUCUGUUUAAGGCGAUCUAGGCAAAGGAGGAUUAUGACACACAGGACCAUGUUGCUGCAUUUUUGGUACAAUUUUUUUUUUUUUU